CCUACGGGAGGCUGCAGUGGGGAAUAUUGCACAAUGGGGGAAACCCUGAUGCAGCGACGCCGCGUGAGUGAAGAAGUAUUUCGGUAUGUAAAGCUCUAUCAGCAGGGAAGAAAAUGACGGUACCUGACUAAGAAGCCCCGGCUAACUACGUGCCAGCAGCCGCGGUAAUACGUAGGGGGCAAGCGUUAUCCGGAUUUACUGGGUGUAAAGGGAGCGUAGACGGCAGCACAAGUCUGGAGUGAAAUGCCCGGGCUCAACCACGGAACUGCUUUGGAAACUGUGCAGCUGGAGUGCAGGAGAGGUAAGUGGAAUUCCUAGUGUAGCGGUGAAAUGCGUAGAUAUUAGGAGGAACACCAGUGGCGAAGGCGGCUUACUGGACGGUAACUGACGUUGAGGCUCGAAAGCGUGGGGAGCAAACAGGAUUAGAUACCCUUGUAGUC
rnacentral:rRNA from 1 species